AUGCCUACCCAUGCUAAAACUACAAUAAAGAAUAGCUUUCAUCAAUUAUUUCGAUUCUGAAUAGGACAAUUAAGGUAAUUUCUAUGUCCGAUUAGUAUAAGUGUAAAAGCGUUUGUGUAGGCUCUUCCAUGAACCUCCCAUUUUUGGUUGUUAAGAAGCAAACGGCUGACACUGUGAUUUUUUAGAGGGAGGAGUUUGAACAGCCAGCAUGAACGGUUGUCGUAUUUAGGUCAAAUAUGUCAAUUUCGGAAUGCAACAC
rnacentral:lncRNA from 1 species